UGAGGAAUAUUGGUCAAUGGGCGAGAGCCUGAACCAGCCAAGUAGCGUGCAGGAUGACGGCCCUAUGGGUUGUAAACUGCUUUUAUAAGGGAAUAAAGUUAGUCUCGUGAGACUUUUUGCAUGUACCUUAUGAAUAAGGACCGGCUAAUUCCGUGCCAGCAGCCGCGGUAAUACGGAAGGUCCGGGCGUUAUCCGGAUUUAUUGGGUUUAAAGGGAGCGUAGGCUGGAGAUUAAGCGUGUUGUGAAAUGUAGACGCUCAACGUCUGCACUGCAGCGCGAACUGGUGUCCUUGAGUACGCACAAAGUGGGCGGAAUUCGUGGUGUAGCGGUGAAAUGCUUAGAUAUCACGAAGAACUCCGAUUGCGAAGGCAGCUCACUGGAGCGCAACUGACGCUGAAGCUCGAAAGUGCGGGUAUCGAACA
rnacentral:rRNA from 1 species